UCACAAGUCAGGCUCUUGGGAC
rnacentral:miRNA from 2 species